GACGAACGCUGGCGGCGUGCCUAACACAUGCAAGUCGAGCGGGGUUGAAGCGAGGGGUAACUCGGACUUCUACCUAGCGGCGGACGGGUGAGUAACGCGUGGGCAACCUGCCUCAAGGUUUGGGAUAACAGCUCGAAAGGGCUGCUAAUACCGGAUAUGCCUGUGGCCUCGCAUGGGGCUAUGAGCAAAGGGGAAACCCGCCUUGAGAUGGGCCCGCGUCCCAUCAGCUAGUUGGUGAGGUGAAGGCUCACCAAGGCGACGACGGGUAGCCGGCCUGAGAGGGUGACCGGCCACACUGGGACUGAGACACGGCCCAGACUCCUACGGGGGGCAGCAGUGGGGGAUCUUGCACAAUGGGCGAAAGCCUGAUGCAGCGACGCCGCGUGAGCGAAGAAGGCCUCGGUUGUAAAGCUCUGUCUGGAGGGACGAAGGAAGUGACGGUACCUCCGGACGGAAGGCCACGGCUAACGUACGUGCCAGCAGCCGCGGUAAAAUCAACGUGUA
rnacentral:rRNA from 1 species